CAGUGCCAUCUACUGCUGUGGCUGGUGUGGCAGUGCCGUCUACAUAUGGUGUGGCAGUGCAUCUACAUCUACUGGUGUGGCAGUGGCGACUCCCAGAGUUUCGAAAAGGCGUAUAAAUACACCGAGCAGUGCUGAAAGGCGAUUGAAAAUAUUUAGAGAACAGACAGAAGAAUCCAUUGACAGUGAUAAUGAGAUGGAAGUAAUAAAACGUCAAAAAGAUGCACGUGAGACGGUGAUACUGGUGACAGACAGGCACAUUGAAAAGUACCUAGAUGAAAAUUAUGCAUGUAUGUAUUGCCAUGAAGUUUUCCACAUUCAUAAAGUCAUUAGUGAACAUUAUCAGAACCUGUACUAAGUGUAAACUUUCCAUCAAACGACCAUUGGAGACAGAAUACGAUAUUCUGAAGGCAUUAGUGUACUGCAAUAUGCUAAAUGGUCAUGGGUACAUAUUUUACGGACGUUGGUGUUCCAUAAAUAGGAUAACAUGUGUGUCACAGAAGGUGUAUGAAAGGUGGCAGGAUCAUGUCAGAGAUGCUGCUAAUCUAAAGUGGCCGGGUGUGCAAGAAAACACUCGGGGUAUAAUAUUUGACCAUUACAUAAAACAGUUACAUAGAGAACCCGUUGAUGGCAUCCCUUGACAUUGAUGUGUCAUUUGACGGAUCAUGGCAUACAAGGGGCCAUCAUUCACAGAUUGGCACUGCGUUUGUGGGUUGAAAUAUUCACUGGCAUGGUAGCUGACUAUAAUAUUUUCUGCAAAAACUGCUCCAAGUGCCAACAAUUCAAACGGUGGAAACGAAGUAGAAAAUUAAACCAGUUUGACAGUGAAAUGGCUGAACAUCGUCCAACGUGUGAUAAAAACUAUUAUUCUAGUGCGAAGAAUAUGGAGGCUGAUGCAGUAGUGUUGAUGUGGGGUAGAUCAGAAAGGAAUAAACUCAGGUAUACGACCUUCGUUGGGGACGGUGACUCGUCUGCUUACAAUAAGGUUUGUGCAAUGAACAAAGGUAAUGGACCAUACGGUGACACAAAGGUAGAAAAGACUGAGUGUAUAAAUCACUUCAGCAAAAGACUUGCAACACAGCUGCACAACCUACAGAAAUCAGCUGUUGAAGUCAAGGAGUGAAAAGGGAAGUCAAGACGAAUGUCCCUAGUGAAAGGUAUAGGAAAACUAACUGACAAAACUAUUUUGAAGUUGUCAAGUAAUUUCAGCAAAGCGAUCAGGGACAACAUCAACACAGACUGGAAAACAAUGAAAGAUGCCUGCCUUUCAGGACUGUUGCAUGCAACGUCCACAGAUGAAAAGCCAAGACACAUGCACUGCCCUAAAGGCAAAGACUCUUGGUGUUUCUACCAACAGGACAUUGCAAAUGCCAAAACCCCACGAUCACACAAAAGUAUGAUUGUACAAUUUCAGUUACCCAGCAAGCACAUGACUGAGGUCAUGAAGAUUUACUGCAACCUUGUCUCGGAAGAUAACAUGAAUAAGUGUCUGAAGGGAAAGACUCAAAAUCCAAAUGAGUCUCUGCACCACCGAGUUUGGACAAUGGCCCCCAAAGACAGAUUUGUUGGUCGUACAAUGGUUGACUUCGCCAUGGCAGUAACAGCCAACAACUACAACUCUGGGUAUUGCAUGGGAUCUCUGACCAGCCUCAUUGGUAUACCUCAGAACAAUCUAACUGAUUGGUACUUGAGUACAAAGGACAAGUUGAUGCAGAAACCAACGAGACGCACCACCAAGCCGAGACAGGCUCCUGAGGAAGAUGAUCCAGGAUAUGGGCCAGGUGCCAAUUAGUGCCUAUUGCAGUGCCACCUUGAGGACCCACAAUUCGGACCAAUUUCAAUAGGGGAUUUGCAUGGAACUUGCACACCUUGCUCAAUGGAUGCCUAUCUGCAAGGGUGCCAAUUAUGAACGAAAUCGGUCGACGUCAAGCUCAGCAACAGGUGGCCAAACUUUGAUCUUAUUUUACUCAGGGUGUGAUGCUGAAACUUGGACCAGUUGCAGCCCUUUCUAUAACCAUUCCAUAAAU
rnacentral:lncRNA from 1 species